UCCCUUUUGGGGAACCGUCUAUCUGGAUCAAUUCCUAAGGAAAUCGGUGAUAUUGCUACACUUGAGGAGCUGAUCUUGGAAGAUAAUCAACUAGAAGGACCACUUAAUGAAAACCUUGGAAAUUUGGGCCGUUUGAGGAGACUCCUUCUCUCUGGAAACAAUUUUACAUGAACGAUACCGCAAAAUUUUCGCAAUCUGAAGAAUUUAACUGAUUUUAGGAUAGAUGAGAAUAAUUUAUCCGGGAAAAUACCUGAUUUAAUUAGGAACUGGACCAAACUUGACAAACUGUUUCUUCAAGGCACAUCAAUGGAGGGCCCCAUUCCUUCGACUAUAUCCCAGUUGAAAAACUUAACUGAGUUG